rnacentral:tRNA from 1 species
GCCUUGUUAGCUCAGUGGAUAGAGCGUCCGUCUACGGAACGGAAGGUCGGGGGUUCGAAUCCCUCACAGGGCAC